GUUUGCUUAUCUCCCCACCUCCACCUCCACCUCACCAGCCAGCCAGACACUCCCACCUCAUCAGCUCACCUGGGCUCCAGCUGCGUCUCAUGUCCAAUCAAGACAGUAUAGCUCUUUGCUGCCAGCAGCUGGUAGGGAUGGAUGUCUCAGAUGCUGGUGCUGACUGAUGGGCAGCUCUUAGCCAAACCUCACGGGGGCUUCUCAAGGAAGCUCGUGGCCUGAGAGACACAGACGAGACUGAUGAGAAUUCUGAGGUGUGCUGAUCGACCGGUCUGCCAUCAACACCCUGCAGCCCCUCCCUCUGCUCCACCCUCGACUGCAGAGCCAAGCCAGUGUGUCUUUGUGUUGAUGCCAACCUAUGUGUAUAUGUGUGUAUGUUAAUACAUGUAUACACUUUUUUUUUUUUUUACAGUAGUUCAGGUCUUAGGAGUCACUAAUACAGUAAUGAAAGUACAUUUACGAUGAAAACGAUGUGAAAGUGGUCGCCCAUAGUGAUGAACUACAGAGAAUUAUCACCUGAAUCUGCAGCUCCCCUCUGCUUCAGCUAUAGAUACUGAUUUUCAGCUCAUUGUUUAACUUUCUGACCUUCAACAUUCCCACUUUGGUUCACCCUUUUAGGCCGCAGCUCUAAAAAAGCUCUGAUAAAGCCAAUGUACACUAACUGCACAGCAGCAAUCAGCAGGCAAACACAGUUAGAGACUAGUUUGGUCAACAUUGAGGAACAUUUAGCAACUAAAGAGACGGAUAAUUUUCUCACAAGUUGAAACAAACACAAUUUAAAAUGAAUGAUGAUGUUUCUGUGUCUGUCGGAUGUGUGAAUAAGCAACUGUUUGCAAUAUGUACAUUUUUAAACUUGUUUCUGCUGAACCCAAUUGGCCAUGACAUUUCAGUUAUUGCAGCUUUAAGUACAAUUAUAAGGCACUGUAGGCUUUCUUCCAUUUUAUUCUACUUUAAAGUUCUGCUUCACUCCAUUUCUUAACCAUAUGGCAAAGUGGGUAUGAUGUGUACUCGACCUGCUCCCAGCAUCACACUUUUAUUUACCUUUCAAACUUCGCCAUUUUCAAAAUAAACUAUUUGUAAUAGU